GAUGAACGCUGGCGGCGUGCCUAAUACAUGCAAGUCGAGCGAACAGACCAGGAGCUUGCUCCUUUGACGUUAGCGGCGGACGGGUGAGUAACACGUGGAUAACCUACCUAUAAGACUGGGAUAACUCCGGGAAACCGGCGCUAAUACCGGAUAAUAUAUUGAACCGCAUGGUUCUAUAGUGAAAGACGGCUUUGCUGUCACUUAUAGAUGGAUCCGCGCCGUAUUAGCUAGUUGGUGAGGUAACGGCUUACCAAGGCGACGAUGCGUAGCCGACCUGAGAGGGUGAUCGGCCACACUGGAACUGAGACACGGUCCAGACUCCUACGGGAGGCAGCAGUAGGGAAUCUUCCGCAAUGGGCGAAAGCCUGACGGAGCAACGCCGCGUGAGUGAUGAAGGUCUUCGGAUCGUAAAACUCUGUUAUUAGGGAAGAACAAAUGUGUAAGUAACUGUGCACGUCUUGACGGUACCUAAUCAGAAAGCCACGGCUAACUACGUG
rnacentral:rRNA from 1 species